AAUUGACUUCUACUCAAAAUCAUUUUGUCCUGGUUGGAAUCAUUCAACUUUCCUUCUUUGCAUUCAAUUGACUGCCAAAUUCAUUACGUUUUGAUCUUAUUGAACCAGCACCUCAUCAAAUAUCGUGUGCUUACAUCUUUACUACGGUUGUCAAAUUAUUAUUAUUAUUAUUAUUAGGGUUCGGCUAUGUUAGAAUUUAUUUAUGGUGGAACAUCAAUCUCAGCCACACACGUAAAAUAUUAAAUAAUAA
rnacentral:lncRNA from 1 species